AAAGCGCGGAAGGUCGCGGGCCCCGUCUUCCCCGGAACUUUUUAUUCCUCAGGCCCGCCCCUCUUCCCCUACCCGCUUCCCGCUCUCCGGCCCGCGGCGACCCCCUCAACCGCCGUGCCGCGCCUCGCUUCGGCCGCCGUGUUGUUGAGCGCGGAGCGCGUGAGGCCGCUGAGGAUUCCCGUCCACAUUCCAGGGGCGUGGUGAGGGUAUUCAAAUCCUGACCCCAGAAGGCGAAGAACUUCUCAAUUCGGAGACUGCGAAGAGCAUAAUACCCAGCAUUCCGGAUUCCAUAUUUCUGUCCAACAUUCAUCACUUCAUUGUAUACGUGCAGAGCAUACUAUUCAAAGAAAGGAAAGCUGACCUCAUGGAAUUUCAAACUCCCAAUCAGAUACAGCUUUUCAAACCUGCUAAUGCUUAGGAACUUUGGAAAAGCCAGCAUUCCUCACAGUGGUCCCUAGAAAAGAAGGCUGAGCUCUCUUACCUCUAUGGGGAUAUAAAGCAUGAAUCCUGGCUCUCCUGUGUGAGUCAUGCUCAUCACCCGGAUCCCAUUUGCGUAGCCCACACUCAUCUCCUGCGGAGGAAAAGGCAGCAAUCGGCCCUCGUGGGCCUCCAGGAUUACAAGACUGUGCCACCACUCCCAGCAAUGAAAUGGUUUUUUAGUCCCAGGAAAAGUACAUCAAGUACUCCUGCUACAGAAACCUUAAGGGAUCAGCCUGUUGGAAGAACAGGGUGGAAUGGUGGAACAAAGUACUUUGGCCUCUCAAAUCCAUGUUUCUCCAUCCAUCUGGCUCCUUGUGCAUCUAGCCGGUCAUACAGAGGAGAUGUGCGCAACUGCCUACCUGUCUGGAAGUCCCAACGGGGAACCUUCAGAUCGUAUAUCAGAGCUAAAAGAGACAAGAGUUUAUCAAAGUUCAAGUCACAGAUUCUGGAGCUGAAUAUCCAAUAUCUACUAAACUUGAAUCAUUUCUAUUCAUGAGAGAAUAAUUUGCAGGCUAAUGCAGCCUAAUUUGUCAGGUAUUACCUAGUAUUAACAGGCAUGAUCCAAAAGAAAGGACAACACUGUAAGACCAUAUAAAGCUAUCUACCAGCGACUCAUGGUCUCUGUUCACAAUCAUAUUUCCACUUUAGUAGGCAGAAACAAUGAAAGGAAAGUCAUAGUUCUAAACUUUGCUCAGUUCCACAACAGAGGAGAAGAUUGUCUAAGGACCCAGGUGGAUAAUAACAAUGUGAAAAAUGGUACUUGA